rnacentral:rRNA from 1 species
AGAGUUUGAUCAUGGCUCAGAUUGAACGCUGGCGGCAUGCUUUACACAUGCAAGUCGAACGGCAGCGCGGGGCAACCUGGCGGCGAGUGGCGAACGGGUGAGUAAUAUAUCGGAACGUACCCAAGAGUGGGGGAUAACGUAGCGAAAGUUACGCUAAUACCGCAUACGAUCUAAGGAUGAAAGCAGGGGACCGCAAGGCCUUGUGCUCCUGGAGCGGCCGAUAUCUGAUUAGCUAGUUGGUAGGGUAAAGGCCUACCAAGGCUACGAUCAGUAGCUGGUCUGAGAGGACGACCAGCCACACUGGAACUGAGACACGGUCCAGACUCCUACGGGAGGCAGCAGUGGGGAAUUUUGGACAAUGGGCGCAAGCCUGAUCCAGCAAUGCCGCGUGAGUGAAGAAGGCCUUCGGGUUGUAAAGCUCUUUUGUCAGGGAAGAAACGGUGGGAGCUAAUAUCUCUUACUAAUGACGGUACCUGAAGAAUAAGCACCGGCUAACUACGUGCCAGCAGCCGCGGUAAUACGUAGGGUGCAAGCGUUAAUCGGAAUUACUGGGCGUAAAGCGUGCGCAGGCGGUUUUGUAAGUCUGAUGUGAAAUCCCCGGGCUCAACCUGGGAAUUGCAUUGGAGACUGCAAGGCUAGAAUCUGGCAGAGGGGGGUAGAAUUCCACGUGUAGCAGUGAAAUGCGUAGAGAUGUGGAGGAACACCGAUGGCGAAGGCAGCCCCCUGGGUCAAGAUUGACGCUCAUGCACGAAAGCGUGGGGAGCAAACAGGAUUAGAUACCCUGGUAGUCCACGCCCUAAACGAUGUCUACUAGUUGUCGGGUUUUAAUUAACUUGGUAACGCAGCUAACGCGUGAAGUAGACCGCCUGGGGAGUACGGUCGCAAGAUUAAAACUCAAAGGAAUUGACGGGGACCCGCACAAGCGGUGGAUGAUGUGGAUUAAUUCGAUGCAACGCGAAAAACCUUACCUACCCUUGACAUGUACGGAAGCCACGAGAGAUCGAGGUGUGCUCGAAAGAGAACCGUAACACAGGUGCUGCAUGGCUGUCGUCAGCUCGUGUCGUGAGAUGUUGGGUUAAGUCCCGCAACGAGCGCAACCCUUGUCAUUAGUUGCUACGAAAGAGCACUCUAAUGAGACUGCCGGUGACAAACCGGAGGAAGGUGGGGAUGACGUCAAGUCCUCAUGGCCCUUAUGGGUAGGGCUUCACACGUCAUACAAUGGUACAUACAGAGGGCCGCCAACCCGCGAGGGGGAGCUAAUCCCAGAAAGUGUAUCGUAGUCCGGAUUGUAGUCUGCAACUCGACUACAUGAAGUUGGAAUCGCUAGUAAUCGCGGAUCAGCAUGUCGCGGUGAAUACGUUCCCGGGUCUUGUACACACCGCCCGUCACACCAUGGGAGCGGGUUUUACCAGAAGUAGGUAGCUUAACCGCAAGGAGGGCGCUUACCACGGUAGGAUUCGUGACUGGGGUGAAGUCGUAACAAGGUAACCGUA